rnacentral:rRNA from 1 species
GAUGAACGCUGGCGGCGUGCUUAACACAUGCAAGUCGAACGGAGUUUACAUGUGAGCGGAGGGUGCUUGCAUCUAACAAUCUUUUGCAAACUUAGUGGCGGACGGGUGAGUAACGCGUGGGUAACCUGCCGUAUGCAGGGGGACAACAGCUGGAAACGGCUGCUAAUACCGCAUAAGCGCACAGUACUGCAUGGUACAGUGUGAAAAGUUCUGGCGGCAUACGAUGGACCCGCGUCUGAUUAGCUAGUUGGUGAGGUAACGGCCCACCAAGGCGACGAUCAGUAGCCGGCCUGAGAGGGUGAACGGCCACAUUGGGACUGAGACACGGCCCCAAACUCCUACGGGAGGCAGCAGUGGGGAAUAUUGGACAAUGGGGGAAACCCUGAUCCAGCGACGCCGCGUGAGUGAAGAAGUAUUUCGGUAUGUAAAGCUCUAUCAGCAGGAGAAAAUGACGGUACCUGACUAAGAAGCCCCGGCUAACUACGUGCCAG